rnacentral:rRNA from 1 species
GAUGAACGCUAGCUACAGGCUUAACACAUGCAAGUCGAGGGGUAACGAGAGGAAAGCUUGCUUUCCUUGUCGACGACCGGCGCACGGGUGAGUAGCGCGUAUCCAACCUGCCCCCAAAUAGGGAAUAACCUUGCGAAAGUAAGACUAAUACCCUAUAAUUUCCUCAGAUGUCAUCUGACGAGGAAUAAAGAUUUAUCGGUUGUGGAUGGGGGUGUGUCUGAUUAGCUUGUUGGCGGGGUAACGGCCCACCAAGGCAACGAUCAGUAGGGGAUCUGAGAGGAAGGUCCCCCACAUUGGAACUGAGACACGGUCCAAACUCCUACGGGAGGCAGCAGUGAGGAAUAUUGGUCAAUGGGCGGAAGCCUGAACCAGCCAAGUAGCGUGCAGGAUGACGGCCCUAUGGGUUGUAAACUGCUUUUAUACAGGAAUAAAGUUAGCCACGUGUGGUUAUUUGUAGGUACUGUAUGAAUAAGGACCGGCUAAUUCCGUGCCAGCCGCCGCUGUAAUAC